rnacentral:rRNA from 1 species
GACGAACGCUGGCGGCGUGCUUAACACAUGCAAGUCGAGCGGACAGGCCCUGAGUUUGUGGGUUUCUCGUUUGGCGCACACGUGUGUGACACGUGAGUAACCUGUCCUUGUCUUUGGGGUAACUUCUCGGGAAUGGGGCUAAUAUCGGAUAGAAGCUCCUGAUGCAUGGUGUGCGUUGGAAAGAGUCGGCGGUUGUGGCUGGACUCGAGGCUUAUGAGCUUGUUAGUGUGGUAGUGGCUUACCACGGCUUUGACGGGUAGCCGGCAUGAGAGGGUGACCGGCCACAUUGCGACUGAGAGACGGACCAGACUCCUACGGUCGGCAGCAGUCGGGAAUAUUGCACAGUGGGCGGAAGCCAGAGACAGCAACCUCCCGUGCGGGAAGACCGCCUUCGGGGUGUAAACCGCUUUCGCCUGUAAUGAAGCGAGAUUGACGGUAAUUGGUAAGGAAGCACCGGCUAACUACGUG